UCUCUUUCUUAUUGUGGAAUAACCAGUUAUUCUACUUUAAUACUGUAAUGGUUAAUAAUGAGUGUCAACUUGAUUGGAUUGAAGGAUACAAAGUAUUGUUCCUGAGUGUGCCUGUGAGGAUGUUGCCAAAGGAGAUUAACAUUUCAGUCAGUGGAUUUGGAAAGGCAGACGCACUCUCAAUCUGGGUAGGCACAACAUAAUCAGCUGCCAGUGCGGUCAGAAUAAAAGCAGGCAGAAGAACGUGGAAAGAUCAGACUAGUUUAUUCUUCCGGCCUACACCUUUCUCCUGUGCUGGAAGCUUCCUGCCCUUCAACAUUGGACUUCAACUUCCUCAGCUUUGGGACUCGAACUGGCUUCCUUGCUCCUCAGCUUGCGACCUAUUGUAGGACCUCACCUUGUGAUUGUGUAGGGCAGGACACCUGCCACAUGAAGGUUUUCAGGGAAGAAGGAAAAGAGAAGAUCGGAGAGCGACCCUCCUAGGUUUUAUGGGUUGCUUCAGGAAAAAGAAUGAAGAGAAGGCAUCUGUCUCAUUCACAAGUAUUAUCUCAACAUGUAACGCAGCGACCAAGAGACAGCAUAUUUCAGUGGAUUGGAAAGAAGGGGUGUCACAAUUUGUUUGGGAGAUGAAUUGUGAAUUAUAGUUCUGCUUUGUCCAUUGUAAUUUUCUCAAGGUUGCAUGACAUAAUAUUACACUUUAGUUUUGAAAAGUCUUUGACUAUGUUAGCAACAUCAGAGCAAUCAGUCAAAUCCAAC
rnacentral:lncRNA from 1 species